rnacentral:rRNA from 1 species
GUCGCAAGACCAAAGAGGGGGACCUUCGGGCCUCUUGCCAUCAGAUGUGCCCAGAUGGGAUUAGCUUGUUGGUGAGGUAACGGCUCACCAAGGCGACGAUCCCUAGCUGGUCUGAGAGGAUGACCAGCCACACUGGAACUGAGACACGGUCCAGACUCCUACGGGAGGCAGCAGUGGGGAAUAUUGCACAAUGGGCGCAAGCCUGAUGCAGCCAUGCCGCGUGUAUGAAGAAGGCCUUCGGGUUGUAAAGUACUUUCAGCGGGGAGGAAGGUGUUGUGGUUAAUAACCACAGCAAUUGACGUUACCCGCAGAAGAAGCACCGGCUAACUCCGUGCCAGCAGCCGCGGUAAUACGGAGGGUGCAAGCGUUAAUCGGAAUUACUGGGCGUAAAGCGCACGCAGGCGGUCUGUCAAGUCGGAUGUGAAAUCCCCGGGCUCAACCUGGGAACUGCAUUCGAAACUGGCAGGCUUGAGUCUUGUAGAGGGGGGUAGAAUUCCAGGUGUAGCGGUGAAAUGCGUAGAGAUCUGGAGGAAUACCGGUGGCGAAGGCGGCCCCCUGGACAAAGACUGACGCUCAGGUGCGAAAGCGUGGGGAGCAAACAGGAUUAGAUACCCUGGUAGUCCACGCCGUAAACGAUGUCUACUUGGAGGUUGUGCCCUUGAGGCGUGGCUUCCGGAGCUAACGCGUUAAGUAGACCGCCUGGGGAGUACGGCCGCAAGGUUAAAACUCAAAUGAAUUGACGGGGGCCCGCACAAGCGGUGGAGCAUGUGGUUUAAUUCGAUGCAACGCGAAGAACCUUACCUGGUCUUGACAUCCACAGAACUUUCCAGAGAUGGAUUGGUGCCUUCGGGAACUGUGAGACAGGUGCUGCAUGGCUGUCGUCAGCUCGUGUUGUGAAAUGUUGGGUUAAGUCCCGCAACGAGCGCAACCCUUAUCCUUUGUUGCCAGCGGUCCGGCCGGGAACUCAAAGGAGACUGCCAGUGAUAAACUGGAGGAAGGUGGGGAUGACGUCAAGUCAUCAUGGCCCUUACGACCAGGGCUACACACGUGCUACAAUGGCGCAUACAAAGAGAAGCGACCUCGCGAGAGCAAGCGGACCUCAUAAAGUGCGUCGUAGUCCGGAUUGGAGUCUGCAACUCGACUCCAUGAAGUCGGAAUCGCUAGUAAUCGUGGAUCAGAAUGCCACGGUGAAUACGUUCCCGGGCCUUGUACACACCGCCCGUCACACCAUGGGAGUGGGUUGCAAAAGAAGUAGGUAGCUUAACCUUCGGGAGGGCGCUUACCACUUUGUGAUUCAUGACUGGGGUGAAGUCGUAACAAGGUAACCGUAGGGGAACCUGCGGUUGGAUCACCUCCUUACCUUAAAGAAGC